UACGUAGGGUGCAAGCGUUGUCCGGAAUUAUUGGGCGUAAAGAGCUCGUAGGCGGUUUGUCGCGUCUGCUGUGAAAACUCGGGGCUCAACUCCGAGCUUGCAGUGGGUACGGGCAGGCUAGAGUUCGGUAGGGGGAGACUGGAAUUCCUGGUGUAGCGGUGAAAUGCGCAGAUAUCAGGAGGAACACCGGUGGCGAAGGCGGGUCUCUGGGCCGAUACUGACGCUGAGGAGCGAAAGCGUGGGGAGCGAACAGG
rnacentral:rRNA from 1 species